rnacentral:rRNA from 1 species
CCCUUAGAUGUUCUGGGCCGCACGCGCGCUACACUGACGAAUUCAACGAGCUUAUAACCUUGGCCGAAAGGUCUAGGUAAUCUCCAAAAUUCGUCGUGAUGGGGAUAGAUUAUUGCAAUUAUUAAUCUUCAACGAGGAAUGCCUAGUAAGCGCAAGUCAUCAGCUUGCGUUGAUUACGUCCCUGCCCUUUGUACACACCGCCCGUCGCUCCUACCGAUUGAAUGGUCCGGUGAAAUCUUGGGAUUUUGUUUUGUUUGCAUUUAUUUGUAUCGAGACGAGAGAACUUGAGUAAACCUUACCAUUUAGAGGAAGGUGAAGUCGUAACA